UACCAGCUCUCCGAGUGGUAGGGAUGAUUAUUGGGCUUAAAGCGUCCGUAGCCGGCUUAGCAAGUCUCCUGUUAAAUUCAGCGACAUAAUCGUUGAGCCGCGGGAGAUACUAUUAGGCUAGGAGGCGGGAGAGGUCGACGGUACUUCUGGGGUAGGGGUGAAAUCCUAUAAUCCCGGGAGGACCACCAGUGGCGAAGGCUGUCGACUAGAACGCGCUCGACGGUGAGGGACGAAAGCUGGGGGAGCGAACCGGAUUAGAUACCCGGGUAGUCCCAGCUGUAAACGAUGCGGGCUAGGUGUUGGGGUGGCUACGUGCCACUUCAGUGCCGCAGGGAAGCCAUUAAGCCCGCCGCCUGGGGAGUACGGCCGCAAGGCUGAAACUUAAGGAAUUGGCGGGGAGCACCACAAGGCGUGAAGCUUGCGGUUC
rnacentral:rRNA from 1 species